rnacentral:sRNA from 1 species
UAAACUUAAACGACGUUAGCCCUGCCUCUCAAACAUCCUUACGGCUCUUUAGCCGAUCCAGUGUGAAUAAGUCUCUAUGAAAAAUU